CCUACGGGGCGCAGCAGUGGGGAAUAUUGGACAAUGGGCGAAAGCCUGAUCCAGCCAUGCCGCGUGUGUGAAGAAGGCCUUCGGGUUGUAAAGCACUUUCAGUGGGGAAGAAAGCCUUGGGGCUAAUACCCUCGAGGAAGGACAUCACCCACAGAAGAAGCACCGGCUAACUCCGUGCCAGCAGCCGCGGUAAUACGGAGGGUGCGAGCGUUAAUCGGAAUUACUGGGCGUAAAGCGCGCGUAGGCGGUCUGAUAAGCCGGUUGUGAAAGCCCCGGGCUCAACCUGGGAACGGCAUCCGGAACUGUCAGGCUAGAGUGCAGGAGAGGAAGGUAGAAUUCCCGGUGUAGCGGUGAAAUGCGUAGAGAUCGGGAGGAAUACCAGUGGCGAAGGCGGCCUUCUGGACUGACACUGACGCUGAGGUGCGAAAGCGUGGGUAGCAAACAGGAUUAGAUACCCCGAUAGUC
rnacentral:rRNA from 1 species